AACGAACGCUGGCGGCAGGCCUAACACAUGCAAGUCGAGCGAGAUCUUCGGGUCUAGCGGCGGACGGGUGAGUAACGCGUGGGAAUAUGCCCUUCUCUGCGGAAUAGCCUCGGGAAACUGAGCGUAAUACCGCAUACGCCCUUUGGGGGUAAGAUUUAUCGGAGCAGGAUUAGCCCGCGUUGGAUUAGGUAGUUGGUGGGGUAACGGCCUACCAAGCCGACGAUGCAUAGCUGGUUUGAGAGGAUGAUUAGCCACACUGGGACUGAGACACGGCCCAGACUGCUACGGGAGGCAGCAGUGGGGAAUCUUAGACAAUGGGGGCAACCCUGAUCUAGCCAUGCCGCGGGAGUGAUGAAGGCCUUAGGGUUGUGAAGCUCUUUCAGCUGGGAAGAUAAUGACGGUACCAGCAGAAGAAGCCCCGGCUAACUCCGUG
rnacentral:rRNA from 1 species